AUCGCAUGUGUAAGUCAGGUGGCAGCGUGAGACCCUUCCCCUUCUGGGGUGGAUGAGCUGACACAGUUACACGCCUGCGAGAU
rnacentral:sRNA from 1 species